UACGGGGGGGGCAAGCGUUGUUCGGAAUCACUGGGCGUAAAGCGCACGUAGGCGGAUUUGUCAGUCAGGGGUGAAAUCCCGGGGCUCAACCUCGGAACUGCCUUUGAUACAGCAAGUCUUGAGUUCGAGAGAGGUGGGUGGAAUUCCUAGUGUAGAGGUGAAAUUCGUAGAUAUUAGGAAGAACACCGGUGGCGAAGGCGGCCCACUGGUCCGGUACUGACGCUGAGGUGCGAAAGCGUGGGGAGCAAACAGG
rnacentral:rRNA from 1 species